GGGGGUGAUAUGGCUUCGACGGAAGCAGUCUGUCACAGGUUGCGUGUCGGCUUGAGAAAUGCCGUAAAACUUUCUUCACAAAAAUAAACGUAAACAAUACAAAUUAUAGACCAGCUUACGCUGUAGCUGCGUAAGUUUAACGAAUAUUUUGGUCCCUUGCGCCAAAGUCUGCCCUUUGACUUUGGAUUUUGCAAGGUCAUAUGAAAAAGGGCUUGAGUUUGAGGCUUCCUAACCUCAAACUGACAUAUUUAGGAUAGAUUACUUAAGGUUUCGGGCGCUGAACCUUAAGUAAUCGAAAGCAAUCGGCGCUACUACGCACGUAGAGGCCUAUGGCAGGUUGUUUUCGGACUCGGGUUCGAUCCCCGACACCUCCACCA
rnacentral:tmRNA from 1 species